rnacentral:rRNA from 1 species
GACGAACGCUGGCGGCGUGCCUAAUACAUGCAAGUAGGACGCUGAAGGAGGAGCUUGCUUCUCUGGAUGAGUUGCGAACGGGUGAGUAACGCGUAGGUAACCUGCCUGGUAGCGGGGGAUAACUAUUGGAAACGAUAGCUAAUACCGCAUAAUAGUAGAUGUUGCAUGACAUUUGCUUAAAAGGUGCAAUUGCAUCACUACCAGAUGGACCUGCGUUGUAUUAGCUAGUUGGUGGGGUAACGGCUCACCAAGGCGACGAUACAUAGCCGACCUGAGAGGGGGAUAGGCCACACUGGGACUGAGACACGGCCCAGACUCCUACGGGAGGCAGCAGUAGGGAAUCUUCGGCAAUUGACGGAAGUCUGACCGAGCAACGCCGCGUGAGUGAAGAAGGGUUUCGGAUCGUAAAGAUCUGUUGUAAGAGAAGAACGAGUGUGAGAGUGGAAAGUUCACACUGUGACGGUAGCUUAACAGAAAGGGACGGCUAACUACGUG